UCACACAUCGCAUUUAUUGAACAUUUACUAUGUUCCAGGCUCUGUGGCACUUCCUACACAUGAUGUCACUCAUUCCUCCCCGUGUUUCUGUGCUGGCGAGCACCACAAUUAGCAGACCUGUUACAGAGGGUUGGAGAAAUUUGUCUGAAGUCACACAGCCAACAGAUGGUGGAAUCAAGACUCAAACCAGGUCUUCUGACUCUAGUAGCUAUGCUUGAUAAAUAGCUAUAACUUUUAACAAAAGGGACAGUGGGGGACAUGUGAGUAUGGGGGUGUGGGUGUGAUGGGUUGAUGGCCGAAAGCUUUCUGGGACCCUGCUACUCAUGCUAGAUUUUCUGGUCCUGAUUAGCUGCUCCAUGGCUGCCAGGAGCUGUUAUUAUCACUCACUCCUAUGCCCUUGUCACUGGGCCUGUGGGGACCUGCCCUUCCUUCCUGCUCUUGGCCCUGUGAUGUUGACAGCUGUACUGGGAAAUCACAUGCUGGCUGCUGCCACAAUUACCAGACACAGACUGUAAGUGCCUCCCUGGACGUCCUGCCACCCUGUCUCAUGCCGGCCCCUACACAGGUGCUCAGGCCACGGCUUUGCUCCAUCUGUUUUACUUCUGUAUUCCAACUCACGAUGAGAAAAGCAACUUCCAGCACCUGCCACAGGAUCAGCAGAGAAUCACUACGAUGUUCCAUGUCCCUAUGACCGCAGGGCAACCUGGAGGAAGCGGUGGUCGUACAAGCACCACGAGUCACAAAACCUGACAAGAUAGUCAGCAUCAAUUUGGUAUCUGAGGUACUAGCAUGUUCAGUUACUGAACACUCUUCCCGUUUCUCCCAACCCAAUCCUGUCUCCCUUAAUAUAGCAGCAAGUAUUUCUAGAGGGCUUACAACGUACUAACCACUGUUCUAAGCGGUUUUCAUGUACUAAGUCACUUAAUUAUCACAACUCUCUACGUAG
rnacentral:lncRNA from 1 species